rnacentral:piRNA from 1 species
UGGACUAUUUAGAUGAGCUGUCCACAAGA